rnacentral:lncRNA from 10 species
GGAGCACAAACAGAAAGUUCAGUGGCCCCAAUAAAAAUAACACCAGAAUCUUCCAGAUACUUUCUCCAUAAGGCGAAAAGUAGAGAUGGGGUUUCACCAUGUUGCCCAGGCUGGUCUCAAACUCCUGAGCUCAGGCCAUCUGCCCGCCUCGGCCUCCCAAAGUGCUAGGAUUACAGAAGGUGCCUGCUUCCCCUUCACCUUCCACCAUGAUUGUAAGUUUCCUGAGGCCUCCCCAGACAUGUGGAACUAACAGGUUUCUCUUAUUGCCUGGAUCCAAGAGCAUCUCCUGGGUUCUUCCUGUUAGAAUACUGAAUGUCCAUGGAGAGUUUAACAUAAGGAAGAAGAGGCCUGUCUCCCAGCUGAAACUGGUGCAGCAGAUCAUGCAAAGUAAAACCUCAGCAGCUGUGAUGAAGUAGAGCAGAGGGCCUGGGUGUCUGUCAGCUCCAAGCGGAAGAUUUCCCCAGCUUUCUAGGUAACUGUGCUUCCACUGAGCAAGCCAGACACAGACUUGAAUGUCAUCACAAUCUGUGCCUGUGACAUCUUUCCCCAAGAAUAGCACAAAUUGAACUUUUACAUUCUUCAUAAUAUGGAAGGAAAGAUUUCUGACUUCAUAUCUGUGGGAUCCACACAAUGGGGAGGUACUGGCCUUGGAAUCCAUGGUUCCCCAGCUAUCAUUUUACUUUAGAAUUACAGUGUUCUCUGUUAGUGUCAAGGGAAUGAACCUGACGAGAAAAGACCAAACAUAGGACUGUUACAGGGAAGAAAAAUAUGAAAAGACCUAAAGAUGCACGUCCUCAUUAUAUGUAAGGAAUCUAUUUCCUAGAAUCCUAUAAAAAGCUCAAGUGAAUUUGCUUCAGUUAAUAAAUGUGAUUUAAUUAUAAUGAUAAUG